rnacentral:sRNA from 1 species
AGAAAAGUGAGUGCCGCCCCGCACAGGGGCAACGCUAAUAGACCACUAAGAAAGCAAGGAAAGGCCAACGCAGCAAGCGAACCAUCGAGGAGCCUAGUGCCCCGCAACCGCAA